AGAAAAAAGUGGAAGGGCAGUAUGCAUCGUGUUUUGCCGCCUGCAUUUUCCAGCACACAGUACAUUGUGACUGUCCAGGGUGUCUGUGAGAGGAGACGGGUCUGUGGUGUGAUCAGACAGCCCUCUGGGCAUCCCAAACUUGCUGCUUGGAAAAUCACAGGAAGAAAGUUUUGCUCUCCAAAUUUCUGGAUAUAUCAUUAAAAGCUUGAGGGACAACUGUUGAAUGAGAGAUCAACUGACACAAACCCAUCACUCACAAAAAUGCUUUCCCACAUUUGAAUUGGACUGAAUCCCUACAACGGCACAGGGUCUCUCCUUGCAGGACCAGCACUGAAAAUGGUGUCAGUGCUUAGCACUUUCUACAAAGAUGUAGCCUUGGCUAAACUACCAGAGCUUGGAAGGCAACCCCCUGCCUGUCAACGUGCUUGUACCGAGACAUUCUUCCAUUGAAAGCCGGGAGGGUUCCAUCAGAGAGGGUUCCGACUUUAUCAUGAUUGGAAAGGGGGGGAUCGACCCUUUCGACCCUACUGAAGAGCCCUAUGCCGUGGAGAGCAGUUGAAGACCUACUGAGCUACGGGAUCUGCUUGGGAACCACGAAUAAACUUCCCGUGGUGAGAUGCGAGCAACACUAUUUUCAAGAGAUCUUCAAGACUCCUGGGUUAAAAUGUGGUUGAAUGUGCACAUUUAUUCUCACUCCCUUCUUAAAUCCUGCUGGGACUAUAGAAAAGAGAUUUUUAAAAAUAUGCAAACAUGGGGAAAACCAGAAAGGAGAAGAUAGCAACAAAAUCUGGGGUAAUGCAUGGAAGUAGAUGUGUGUGCGGUAACUGACUUAGGAGAUCCUAUAAAGCUAAGCCCCAAUCCACAGGCCCCUCUCAUACGUACUGCAGAAUCCUGGAGAGCCGCGGGAGGCGUUAUGUCUGAAUUUAGGCAAAGCCAGUGGCUAGGAUGAGAGAACUGGGUAAAAACUGAAGAGAUCUGGAGGGGGAGAGGAUGUAGCUCUGUGACCUACUUUCUCAUGUGGGUACGAUCCAAGGCCAUCUUGAGAGGGCUUGCGUAGGCAAAACCUUCUGUGUGCUUCCCUCCCCAUCUGCCUCAAAUUAAACCCAUCAAAUUAAAAUUGUUAAAAUAAAUGUCAAAAAGCAACUUUAAAUUAAAA